GAUGAACGCUGGCGGCGUGCCUAAUACAUGCAAGUCAAGCGAACAGACGAGGAGCUUGCUCCUCUGACGUUAGCGGCGGACGGGUGAGUAACACGUGGAUAACCUACCUAUAAGACUGGGAUAACUUCGGGAAACCGGAGCUAAUACCGGAUAAUAUAUUGAACCACAUGGUUCAAUAGUGAAAGACGGUUUUGCUGUCACUUAUAGAUGGAUCCGCGCCGCAUUAGCUAGUUGGUAAGGUAACGGCUUACCAAGGCGACGAUGCGUAGCCGACCUGAGAGGGUGAUCGGCCACACUGGAACUGAGACACGGUCCAGACUCCUACGGGAGGCAGCAGUAGGGAAUCUUCCGCAAUGGGCGAAAGCCUGACGGAGCAACGCCGCGUGAGUGAUGAAGGUCUUCGGAUCGUAAAACUCUGUAAUUAGGGAAGAACAAAUGUGUAAGUAACUAUGCACGUCUUGACGGUACCUAAUCAGAAAGCCACGGCUAACUACGUG
rnacentral:rRNA from 1 species